rnacentral:lncRNA from 1 species
AAUGUGAAUAUCAAUGAAUUAUUUAUUAUAAAGCCAGAAGAUCCUUCAAGGGGCCAUUAAUCCCUUAUCGAGUCUUAUUCAAUACCAUUUUAUUGAUGAAACAGAAAGUUUGAGGAGAAAGAAGAGACAUCCCUAUGUGCCCAAUUAGGAUUAAAAUAAAUUUGGGGAUAAUAUAGCCAUCACAGCCCGUAGUGAGGCAUAUUUGGACUAAUGAUUAAAGAGUAGACUGCAGAACACACUGAGGUUUAAGACUUGAGACCAUCCAACAUCACCUCAGAGAGUUGUUCUCCCAAAGGAUAAUGAUGGCAGUGUGUGAUGAGUAAUAAAAGUCAGAAUAGAGUUUUGUAAUGCUGCUUCCCAUCUCACCCCUGUACCUUAAAUGGACUGCCUUAAGCAAGUCAUUCUUCUUCUUCUCUGCCUCUAGGUAAGCUCACCUUCCCACAGGAGGGAGCUGGACUGUUUGAUGUGGAAGGUCCCUUCUAGUGGUAAAAAUAUGUGAUUCUCUCCUCUAAAGGAGACUUUUUGCUCCUCUCACAUGUGUAGGGAUCCUGACAGAGUCAUGCUUGGGUCAUGUGGGGGAGGAAAAGGUGGUGUGCCACAGGGAUGGAUUUUCCUAGCCCUUACCAGCACAGUCCAGGUUUCUGAAUCCAUGCCUAGAGGUGGGGCAGGGAGGGCUUUCCCUGCACCCACACAUAUUAUGAUUAAGGUUGGGGUGGGAAGCUAUUGAGUGCAAACAGAAACUUUCAGUUUUAUUUCCAGCCCAGCCUUCCUCUGGCCUGACUCACUCGGUGAUGCCACAGUCUCAUGUUUGUGACCUAACACAGUGGAUCACCAUGGAACUCACACAGACCCUAGACUGUUGAGGAGCACCAACGGAGAUGAGCUGGACAGUUCCGGAAAAAGAAAUAAACCUGAUUUUGACACACAGAGAGGCCACAUUUCAAAUCUGGACUCCCAAGUCCUCAUGUGGGCACUUCCACCGCUGAUAAAAAUGGACACCUGGAUACCUCAGGGUCUAUUGGAGCACCCAAGUUUGGAUUUAAGGAAAAGAAGACAGACGCUGGCAACGGACAGCGUACCAGUGAGGGCCCAGCAACAGCAGGCUGCCUCUGCAGACAAGACAGGAGAAGUCCAUCAAAUACCCUAUUUUAAGAAGAGGAAGCUGUUCUAGGGAGCAAGAAGUCUGAGAUGUUUCCAUGAGUUCUCAGGCUCAUUCUGAAAUGGGCAUCACCUCUGCUUAUCUAUUUGCCCAAAUCCACCACCAUUAAGAAAAAGCUUGUUCCCUUAGUCCUGUGAUUCAGUGUCAUCAUUUAAGUGCUGUGUUAGAGAGUGAUGGUGUACAUGACCUGAACUAUCUAGGCACUUAUUAGGAGGGCUAUUUUUCUUAGUAUUUGGCAAACAUAACUUCUCUAAUUUGAUGACAGUGAGAACCAUGUUGUUCUAGACUCAUUUGUUCUACAACUGCCCAUUAAAUACCUCUUAUCUUCAAUGGAGUAGUUUGGUGGAUACAAAUGCAGGUCUGGAGUCAGGAAGACUCAUCUCAGUUCAAAUCCAGCCUCAGACACCUAUCAGUUAGGUGAUUCUGCCCUGGGCAAAUCUUUUAACCCUAUUUGCCUCAGUUUCCUCAUUUAUAAAAUGAAUUGGAGAAAGAAAUGGCAAACUACUCCAGUACCUUUGCCAAGAAGAUUCUGAAGGGGGUAAUGAAAAGUUGGACACAACUGAUCAACUAAACCAUAAUUAGAAAUCUUCAGUAGAUACUAAAGGAUAUAUACAAAGAUAAAUUGGGCACGUUCCUAUCCUCAACAAGUUUAUUAUCUAGUAUGGUAGAUAAAGCAUGUAUACAGAUAAUUAUAUGGGGAAAAGGAUUUCUUAGGGGAGAAGGUCCUAUGUAACUUCAGGUUACACUAAAUCUUGAGGUGCCUGUCAAUGCCUCUCCCCCCUUUCACCCUGAUUUAAUAUCUGUAAGUUAGAGUUUUUCUUACAACUAUAAUAUACUGUAGGCUAUGAUCAUGCAAAUUCAAUAAUCAUUUAUUAAGAUUCUUUUUUAUAUAAAGCAUCUGAAAUAGUAUAAGAUGGCAGAGUAUUGAAUCUGGAGUUAGAAAAAAAAUCUAGAAUCCCCUGUUGACUAAUACUAACUCUGUGACCAUGAGGGAGAUGACUUAACUUUUCUG